rnacentral:rRNA from 1 species
GACGAACUUUGGCGGCGUGCUUAACACAUGCAAGUCGAACGGAAAGGCCCUGCUUUUGUGGGGUGCUCGAGUGGCGAACGGGUGAGUAACACGUGAGUAACCUGCCCUUGACUUUGGGAUAACUUCAGGAAACUGGGGCUAAUACCGGAUAGGAGCUCCUGCUGCAUGGUGGGGGUUGGAAAGUUUCGGCGGUUGGGGAUGGACUCGCGGCUUAUCAGCUUGUUGGUGGGGUAGUGGCUUACCAAGGCUUUGACGGGUAGCCGGCCUGAGAGGGUGACCGGCCACAUUGGGACUGAGAUACGGCCCGGACUCCUACGGGAGGCAGCAGUGGGGAAUAUUGCACAAUGGGCGGAAGCCUGAUGCAGCAACGCCGCGUGCGGGAUGACGGCCUUCGGGUUGUAAACCGCUUUCGCCUGUGACGAAGCGUGAGUGACGGUAAUGGGUAAAGAAGCACCGGCUAACUACGUGCCAGCAGCCGCGGUGAUACGUAGGGUGCGAGCGUUGUCCGGAUUUAUUGGGCGUAAAGGGCUCGUAGGUGGUUGAUCGCGUCGGAAGUGUAAUCUUGGGGCUUAACCCUGAGCGUGCUUUCGAUACGGGUUGACUUGAGGAAGGUAGGGGAGAAUGGAAUUCCUGGUGGAGCGGUGGAAUGCGCAAAUAUCAGGAGGAACACCAGUGGCGAAGGCGGUUCUCUGGGCCUUUCCUGACGCUGAGGAGCGAAAGCGUGGGGAGCGAACAGGCUUAGAUACCCUGGUAGUCCACGCUGUAAACGGUGGGUACUAGGUGUGGGGUCCAUUCCACGGGUUCCGUGCCGUAGCUAACGCUUUAAGUACCCCGCCUGGGGAGUACGGCCGCAAGGCUAAAACUCAAAGGAAUUGACGGGGCCCCGCACAAGCGGCGGAGCAUGCGGAUUAAUUCGAUGCAACGCGUAGAACCUUACCUGGGUUUGACAUGGAUCGGGAGUGCUCAGAGAUGGGUGUGCCUCUUUUGGGGUCGGUUCACAGGUGGUGCAUGGCUGUCGUCAGCUCGUGUCGUGAGAUGUUGGGUUAAGUCCCGCAGCGAGCGCAACCCUUGUUCACUGUUGCCAGCACGUUAUGGUGGGGACUCAGUGGAGACCGCCGGGGUCAACUCGGAGGAAGGUGGGGAUGACGUCAAGUCAUCAUGCCCCUUAUGUCCAGGGCUUCACGCAUGCUACAAUGGCUGGUACAGAGAGUGGCGAGCCUGUGAGGGUGAGCGAAUCUCGGAAAGCCGGUCUCAGUUCGGAUUGGGGUCUGCAACUCGACCUCAUGAAGUCGGAGUCGCUAGUAAUCGCAGAUCAGCAACGCUGCGGUGAAUACGUUCCCGGGGCU